AAAACGUUUGGUACCACAUCGCCCGACGGAUUUAAUCAUUAUUCAAGAGGGAAAGGACAAGAAUAGAUCGUUCAACCAGGAGUGUUUCAAGCGGAAAAAAAUACUUGUGUUUCACCUCAGCCACACAAAGGAGACCAGACAGCACUGUCCUUAAAGCACAGACUCGGUAUACUCACUUUGCUGCCGAUUGCUGUCAGGUGUCGAAGCCUGUGCGUACGAGCGAGUGGUGACUGCCCGCACGAACACCCAAGCCUCCGCACCUUCACCUCGCCCACCAGGUCCAGGAUGGAUUUCUGCUGCAGCCUGACAGCGGUAAUCUCUCCGGAGAGAAGGUCAAGCG
ensembl:lncRNA